AGGAGGACUGAGAAAGUUUGGCAGCCAGAUCAUUGUUGCCACAACUGGUUAUUCCCUCCAAUAUUAAGUGGCAAAUGACUCUUUUCUAACAGCCUAACUCUACUCUAGGCUGUACGUGGUUAGUUGCCUACACUAC